rnacentral:rRNA from 1 species
UUAUCGAGGGUGUGACGGAGAAGGAUAGUGUGUGCUAGCGAUUGGAAAUGCUAGUCUAAGCGUUUAGGAAGUUACAGUAGGCAAAUCCGCUGUAACAAUUCUGAGGCGUGAUGGGGAAGGUCAUUAAGACCGAAGUACAUGAUUCCAUGCUUCCAAGAAAAGCAUCUAGAGAGAGAAGUAGUGCCCGUACCGCAAACCGACACAGGUAGAUGAGGAGAGAAUCCUAAGGCCGGCGGAAGAAUUGCAGUUAAGGAACUAGGCAAAUUGACCCCGUAAGUUCGCGAGAAGGGGUGCCUGCGAGAGCAGGCCGCAGAGAAUAGGCCCAAGCAACUGUUUAGCAAAAACACAGGUCUCUGCUAAAGCGUAAGCUGAUGUAUAGGGGCUGACGCCUGCCCGGUGCUGGAAGGUUAAGGGGAACACUUAGCGCAAGCGAAGGUGUGAACUUAAGCCCCAGUAAACGGCGGCCGUAACAAUAACGGUCCUAAGGUAGCGAAAUUCCUUGUCAGGUAAGUUCUGACCCGCACGAAUGGCGUAAUGACUUGGGCACUGUCUCAACUGCAAAUCCGGCGAAGUUGUAGUGCGAGUGAAGAUGCUCGCUACCCGCGAUUGGACGGAAAGACCCCGUAGAGCUUUACUGUAGCUUAGCAUUGAAUUCCGGUAUUGUCUGUACAGGAUAGGUGGGAGACUGGGAAACUAGGGCGUCAGCCUUAGUGGAGUCAACCUUGGGAUACCACCCUGACAGUACUGGGGUUCUAACAGGACGCCAUGAAACUGGUGACUGGACAUUGUUAGGUGGGCAGUAUGACUGGGGCGGUCGCCUCCUAAAAAGUAACGGAGGCGCCCAAAGGUUCCCUCAGAACGGUCGGAAAUCGUUCGUAGAGUGCAAAGGCAGAAGGGAGCCUGACUGCGAGACCUACAAGUCGAGCAGGGACGAAAGUCGGGCUUAGUGAUCCGGUGGUACCUCGUGGGAGGGCCAUCGCUCAACGGAUAAAAGCUACCUCGGGGAUAACAGGCUGAUCUCCCCCAAGAGUCCACAUCGACGGGGAGGUUUGGCACCUCGAUGUCGGCUCGUCGCAUCCUGGGGCUGUAGUAGGUCCCAAGGGUUGGGCUGUUCGCCCAUUAAAGCGGCACGCGAGCUGGGUUCAGAACGUCGUGAGACAGUUCGGUCCCUAUCCGUCGCGGGCGUAGGAAAUUUGAGAGGAGCUGUCCUUAGUACGAGAGGACCGGGAUGGACUGACCUCUGGUGCACCAGUUGUUCUGCCAAGAGCAUGGCUGGGUAGCUAAGUCGGGAAGGGAUAAACGCUGAAAGCAUCUAAGCGUGAAGCCCCCCUCAAGAUGAGAUUUCCCAUAGCAUAAGCUAGUAAGACCCCUUGAAGAACACAAGGUUGAUAGGUCAGAGGUGGAAGUGCGGUAACGUAUGUAGCUGACUGAUACUAAUAGGUCGAGGGCUUGACCG